UGGGGAAUAUUGCACAAUGGGCGAAAGCCUGAUGCAGCGACGCCGCGUGAGGGAUGACGGCCUUCGGGUUGUAAACCUCUUUCAGCAGGGAAGAAGCGAAAGUGACGGUACCUGCAGAAGAAGCGCCGGCUAACUACGUGCCAGCAGCCGCGGUAAUACGUAGGGCGCAAGCGUUGUCCGGAAUUAUUGGGCGUAAAGAGCUCGUAGGCGGUUAGUCGCGUCUGCUGUGAAAACUCGAGGCUCAACCUCGGGCUUGCAGUGGGUACGGGCUGACUAGAGUGCGGUAGGGGUGACUGGAAUUCCUGGUGUAGCGGUGGAAUGCGCAGAUAUCAGGAGGAACACCGAUGGCGAAGGCAGGUCACUGGGCCGCAACUGACGCUGAGGAGCGAAGCAUGGGGAGCGAACAGGAUUAGAUACCCUGGUAGUCCAUGCCGUAAACGUUGGGCACUAGGUGUGGGGUCCAUUUCCACGGAUUCCGUGCCGCAGCAAACGCAUUAAGUGCCCCGCCUGGGGAGUACGGCCGCAAGGCUAAAACUUAAAGGAAUUGACGGGGUCAUAGCUGUUUCCU
rnacentral:rRNA from 1 species